UACGAAGGGGGCGAGCGUUGUUCGGAUUUACUGGGCGUAAAGGGCGCGCAGGCGGCUCAUUUUGUCAGGCGUGAAAGCCCCGGGCUUAACCUGGGAACUGCGGUUGUGACUGCAAGACUGGAGUGUGGCAGAGGGGGGUGGAAUUCCACGUGUAGCAGUGAAAUGCGUAGAGAUGUGGAGGAACACCGAUGGCGAAGGCAGCCCCCUGGGUCAACACUGACGCUCAUGCACGAAAGCGUGGGGAGCAAACAGG
rnacentral:rRNA from 1 species